UACGGAGGGUGCAAGCGUUAUCCGGAUUCACUGGGUUUAAAGGGUGCGUAGGUGGGCAGUUAAGUCAGUGGUGAAAUCUCCGGGCUUAACCCGGAAACUGCCAUUGAUACUAUCUGUCUUUGAAUACCGUGGAGGUGAGCGGAAUAUGUCAUGUAGCGGUGAAAAUGCUUAGAUAUGACAUAGAACACCAAAUUGCGAAGGCAGCUCACUACGCGAAAUAUUGACACUGAGGCACGAAAAGCGUGGGGGAUCGAAAACAAGG
rnacentral:rRNA from 1 species